rnacentral:rRNA from 1 species
UACGUAGGGUGCAAGCGUUGUCCGGAAUUAUUGGGCGUAAAGAGCUUGUAGGCGGUUUGUCGCGUCUGCUGUGAAAUUUCGGGGCUCAACCCCGAACUUGCAGUGGGUACGGGCAGACUAGAGUGUGGUAGGGGCUACUGGGAUUCUCGGUGUAGCGGUGAAAUGCGUAGAGAUCGAGAGGAACACCUGCGGCGAAGGCGGGUAGCUGGGCCGAGACUGACGCUGAGGCGCGAAAGCCAGGGGAGCGAACGGG